AGCCCCUACUCCCCGCACGGCGUCGAGUCCGCCGGCCAGUCCGGCGGACGAGAGGGAAUCCGGUGCGAAUCCGGAGCUGUCCCCGCAGCGGUAUGCCGUAACGACCACCGUCAACAGCACUGAGCCCGCAGGGCUUGGGAAGCGACGGUCAGUAGGAAUGCUCUUGUCGAGCAACGACGGCGAGCCCGAAGACCUGCCAUGUGUACCGGGCGCGC
rnacentral:ncRNA from 1 species